CGGGGAGUAGCGCAGCUCGGUUUAGCGCACCUCGCUUGGGACGAGGGGGUCGCCCGUUCAAAUCGGGUCUCCCCGA
rnacentral:tRNA from 1 species